CCCUUAGAUGUUCUGGGCCGCACGCGCGCUACACUGAAUGGAUCAACGUGUUUUCCCUUCCCGAGAGGGACGGGUAACCCGCUGAACCCCAUUCGUGGUAGGGAUCGGAGCUUGCAAUUGUUCUCCGUGAACCAGGAAUUCCCAGUAAGCGCAAGUCAUAAGCUUGCGUUGAUUACGUCCCUGCCCUUUGUACACACCGCCCGUCGCACCUACCGAUUGAAUGGUCCGGUGAAAUCUCGGGACGGCGGCUUGGUCGCUUGCGUCCGACUGCUGAAACUUGAUUAAACCAUAUCGUUUAGAGGAAGGUGAAGUCGUAACA
rnacentral:rRNA from 1 species